CAUUCCACAGUGAAUGCUUAAUGCAAUACAGUUUAAACGGACGGUUAUUCUCAUUCCAGGAAACUGAUAAGAUACAUCUCGUUGGGUGAAAUGUGGACAAUAUUCUCAUUGUUUGCGAUUCUCACCUUUCUACCAUGUCUGUGUCUUGGGGUGAAGGUUGAACAGGAUCCCAAGCUAAUCAUUGUUCCGGCUGGGAAACCAGCGGAGUUUCAAUGUAAACAUGAUGACAACAGCUAUAUUGCUAUGUUUUGGUACCAACAGCGGCCCGGACAGGGACUGAAGCUUAUGAUACAUUCUACAAGCGAAGAUGCUAAAAGCGAUGCAAUGGAAGAUGAGUUCAAGUCGUGGGCUUGGAACAGGAUGAGUCGUCUGGAAUUCAGCCUGAAAUUGCCCAACUCUCAGACUUCAGAUUCAGCCGUGUAUUUCUGUGCUGCUAGUAAACACAGCCACAAAUCCCUGUGCAGCACUGAGCACAAAACCUGCAGCAUAAUUUAG